rnacentral:lncRNA from 1 species
UGUAACAUUCUAAGUCUUGGAUGGCAAAAUAAUUCUGAUUGGAAUAUAUAAACUCGCACACUAAUAAUAAUAACUGGAUUUAAGCAUUUUGGGCUAGUGGUUUCGACCCAAUGAGUUAUUAUUACUAUCGGAUUGAGUUGUUACAAUAUAUUCCAAUCAAGCAGAGAUAAUGAAAUUUAUCUCUACCAUUUCACCAAACGAGGUGUUUUUGAACAAAAUAUUUUUAUCUUUUGGUGGAAUAAUGUUAUUCCAAGGUUUAAUUUCAAGUUUUAUUAAGAUUGUAAAUUGAAUUAAAGCUAAAUUAUAUAGAUAUAAUAUCUUAUAUUUAUGGUAAAUUAUUUUAUUAUAAAAUUAUUAAUUAUACUAUAUUAAUACGUAUUAUUUAUAUUUAAAUAUUAUAAUAAACUAUUAUAGUAAAUUAUACUUAAAUAUUAUAUAAUAAAUUAUUUUUUAAUAUUUUAUUAAAUUUGAGAUCAAGUAGAAUUUGCAAAGAAGUUAUACAUAAUAUAUUUUUUAUUAAAUUAUAAUUUAUAAACAAUAUAUUUUUAUUAAAUCAUAAUUUAUAAUAAAUUAUUUUUAUUAAAUAUUAUAAUAAAUUAUUUUUAUAAAUUAAUUUUACAAUAAAUUAUUUU